CAGCAGCCACGGGAACACGGAGGGUGCAAGCGUUAAUCGGAAUUACUGGGCGUAAAGCGUGCGUAGGCGGUUCGUUAAGUCUGUUGUGAAAGCCCCGGGCUCAACCUGGGAAUGGCAAUGGAUACUGGCGAGCUAGAGUGUGUCAGAGGAUGGUGGAAUUCCCGGUGUAGCGGUGAAAUGCGUAGAGAUCGGGAGGAACAUCAGUGGCGAAGGCGGCCAUCUGGGACAACACUGACGCUGAGGCACGAAAGCGUGGGGAGCAAACAGGAUUAGAUACCCCCGUAGUCCCUGUCUCUUAUAC
rnacentral:rRNA from 1 species